AACGAACGCUGGCGGCAUGCCUAACACAUGCAAGUCGAACGAGACCUUCGGGUCUAGUGGCGCACGGGUGCGUAACGCGUGGGAACCUGCCUUUAGGUUCGGAAUAACAGUGAGAAAUUACUGCUAAUACCGAAUGAUGUCUUCGGACCAAAGAUUUAUCGGGAAGGGAUCGGCCCGCGUUGGAUUAGGUAGUUGGUGGGGUAAUGGCCUACCAAGCCGACGAUCCAUAGCUGGUUUGAGAGGAUGAUCAGCCACACUGGGACUGAGACACGGCCCAGACUCCUACGGGAGGCAGCAGUGGGGAAUCUUAGACAAUGGGCGCAAGCCUGAUCUAGCCAUGCCGCGUGAGCGAUGAAGGCCUUAGGGUUGUAAAGCUCUUUCAGUGGGGAAGAUAAUGACUGUACCCACAGAAGAAGCCCCGGCUAACUCCGUG
rnacentral:rRNA from 1 species